rnacentral:rRNA from 1 species
CGGGGGAGAAAACCCCACGCCGCCGAAACGCGCGGAGUCCGGGGUGGUCCCGCCCCCGAGGGCGGCCUGCGGCCGCUCUCG